AUACGUAGGUGGCAAGCGUUGUCCGGAAUUAUUGGGCGUAAAGCGCGCGCAGGUGGUUCCUUAAGUCUGAUGUGAAAGCCCCCGGCUCAACCGGGGAGGGUCAUUGGAAACUGGGGAACUUGAGUGCAGAAGAGGAUAGUGGAAUUCCAAGUGUAGCGGUGAAAUGCGUAGAGAUUUGGAGGAACACCAGUGGCGAAGGCGGCUGUCUGGUCUGUAACUGACACUGAGGCGCGAAAGCUUGGGGAGCAAACAGGAUUAGAUACCCUGGUGGUCCACGCCGUAAACGAUGAGUGCUAAGUGUUGGGGGGUUUCCGCCCCUCAGUGCUGCAGCUAACGCAUUAAGCACUCCGCCUGGGGAGUACUGUCGCAAGACUGAAACUCAAAGGAAUUGACGGGU
rnacentral:rRNA from 1 species